CUGAUGCAGCCAUGCCGCGUGUAUGAAGAAGGCCUUCGGGUUGUAAAGUACUUUCAGCGGGGAGGAAGGCGAUGCGGUUAAUAACCGCGUCGAUUGACGUUACCCGCAGAAGAAGCACCGGCUAACUCCGUGCCAGCAGCCGCGGUAAUACGGAGGGUGCAAGCGUUAAUCGGAAUUACUGGGCGUAAAGCGCACGCAGGCGGUCUGUUAAGUCAGAUGUGAAAUCCCCGGGCUUAACCUGGGAACUGCAUUUGAAACUGGCAGGCUUGAGUCUUGUAGAGGGGGGUAGAAUUCCAGGUGUAGCGGUGAAAUGCGUAGAGAUCUGGAGGAAUACCGGUGGCGAAGGCGGCCCCCUGGACAAAGACUGACGCUCAGG
rnacentral:rRNA from 1 species